CAGGACCCGCGCCCAGCUCCCGGCCCCGCGCCGCACGGACCGGACCGGACCGAACGCGCUCCCGUUCCCGCUCCGCGCCUUAAAGGAGCCGCGCCCGGCGGGGCGGGGAGCGGCGUUUUUGGGUCCCUUUCACCGAGCGUGGCCAAUAGAAUCCGUAAUUGUUCAAAGGAGGGCAGGCCCAACAGAGAGCUCCGGUGCAGCACAGGGCUGGCAGGGCUCGGCGCCGCCACUCACGGUUAUGGGUAGCUCCUGCAUUAGCAGCGUUUCUGGACAGUGUUUCCUUCUCUGUAGUGUACAUUCAGAGACACACGACUGCUCUCUUCAUUAACUUGCACCCCCUCUCCAGGCUGUCUCAGCCUGAUGGAAGAGUUUGCUCCUGCUGGGAUGCAGCAGAUCCUGGAAGACCUUGGGGAGAAGGUGUCUAUAGAAGCAGUUCGAUAAAUGUCCUGCUCCUUCCCUUCCGCUGGGGCCACAUGAGGCAGAAAUUGGGAAGUCAUCGCCGCAUUUUGUUUAAAGGCCUUUUAGUGCUGCAGGAAAAAACACAAGGUGGCGAAGGAGCAGCCUGCUGCCAACAGCAUCUGAGAUGUUCUGGCUUGUGCCAAGAAGGUGAUUCCAGGGCAAACUCCUUCCCAGUCCAUUGAGACAGACGAUCAUCAGAAGAUUAGAAGACAGAAUAUCUAAGGAGGACAUAAAAUCAUAAGGCACUCACCUUACUGAUCCUGCCCAGGAGGAGUAUUGAUAUUUUGAGCCAUCUGACCAAAUCACUUCUCAUUUCUAAAGAUGCCUUGGUCAGGUUUUAUGCUGUAAGAUGAACAAAGGGGGAGA